rnacentral:rRNA from 1 species
UACGGGGGGAGCAAGCGUUGUCCGGAAUUAUUGGGCGUAAAGGGCUCGUAGGCGGUUCGUCACGUCGGGAGUGAAAACUCGGGGCUUAACCCCGAGCCUGCUUCCGAUACGGGCAUCACUGGAGUUCGGCAGGGGAGACUGGAAUUCCUGGUGUAGCGGUGAAAUGCGCAGAUAUCAGGAGGAACACCGGUGGCGAAGGCGGGUCUCUGGGCCGAUACUGACGCUGAGGAGCGAAAGCCAGGGGAGCGAACGGG